GACGAACGCUGGCGGCGUGCUUAACGCAUGCAAGUCGAACGAUGAACCCGGAGCUUGCUCCGGUGGAUUAGUGGCGAACGGGUGAGUAACACGUGAGCAACCUGCCCUUGACUCUGGGAUAACUGCGGGAAACUGUAGCUAAUACCGGAUACGACCCUCGGCGGCAUCGCCAGGGGGUGGAAAGAAUCUCGGUCAAGGAUGGACUCGCGGCCUAUCAGCUAGUUGGUGAGGUAACGGCUCACCAAGGCGACGACGGGUAGCCGGCCUGAGAGGGUGACCGGCCACACUGGGACUGAGACACGGCCCAGACUCCUACGGGAGGCAGCAGUGGGGAAUAUUGCACAAUGGGCGCAAGCCUGAUGCAGCAACGCCGCGUGAGGGAUGACGGCCUUCGGGUUGUAAACCUCUUUUAGUAGGGAAGAAGCGAAAGUGACGGUACCUGCAGAAAAAGCACCGGCUAACUACGUGCCAGCAGCCGCAGUAA
rnacentral:rRNA from 1 species